rnacentral:rRNA from 1 species
GACGUAGGAGGCGAGCGUUAUCCGGAUUUACUGGGCGUAAAGCGCACGCAGGCGGCUUCGUUAGUCGGAUGUGAAAGCUCCUGGCUUAACUGGGAGAGGUCAUUCGAUACUGCGAGGCUUGAGGUAGGGAGAGGGGUGUGGAAUUCCCGGUGUAGUGGUGGAAUGCGUAGAUAUCGGGAGGAACACCUGUGGCGAAAGCGGCACCCUGGCCCUCACCUGACGCUGAGGUGCGAAAGCGUGGGUAGCAAACAGG